rnacentral:rRNA from 1 species
UACGUAGGUGGCAAGCGUUGUCCGGAUUUACUGGGCGUAAAGAGCGCGCAGGCGGCCAAGUCAGUCGAAUGUGAAAGCCCCCCGGCUUAACUGGGGAGGGUCAUUCGAUACUGCUCGGCUCGAAGACAGGAGAGGGAAGUGGAAUUCCCGGUGUAGUGGUGAAAUGCGUAGAUAUCGGGAGGAACACCAGUGGCGAAGGCGACUUUCUGGCCUGUUCUUGACGCUGAGGCGCGAAAGCUAGGGGAGCAAACGGGG